rnacentral:lncRNA from 1 species
CCCGAAUGCUCGGCCCGCCUUGAGGAAAGUCGAUCCUCGCGUCGUCCCCGUCGUUUUGGUCCGCUCAGCUCGCUAAUCCGGUGAGUUUAACUCACUAAACCUUGAUUAAACGGUUAAUGAUGCCCUAAGUGUGCUUAGUCUAAGUUAUGUAAGUUUAGGUGGUUAGAUUAGUUUAUUUGGUUGAGGAUUAUAUUAAGAUGUUUAAUUAAGUUAAAGUGUGUUUAGUUUAAAGUAAAGUAUGUUUAUUUUAAUAUAACGCCUUGAUGUGACAUAAUAGGGUUUUACUUUUGCAUUAUUUAAUGAUUUCGAAUUCUGGAAUUUAUAAUAUUAUAUUAUAUUCCAAAAUUAUUAAAAUAUUAUUAUUAAAAAAAAUGGAAAAAUUAUUUUUGACCCCGAUUGCUUAGAAUUUCGUGCCGAUCGCUGCUGUGCAUUCAGAUUUCGAAAUUGAUGGUUGGAUAUUAUAGAUUGAGCGUGGAUCGUGAAAUAUAUGGAUAUUAUUAUUUAAUUAAUUUUCGGAAUAAAUUUAAUUAUUUAAUAAAUUCUGAAAAUUAUUUGGGAACCUUAUUCUCUUAGAAUUUCGUGCUGAUCGCUGCUGUGUAUUCAUAAUUUGAAUUUGAUGAUUGAUUGUGGCAAAUGGAGUGUGAUUGUGAUAAAUAGGGAUUUUUUUUAUAAAAUCCUAAGUGUAGAAUUGAUGGGAGAUUGGCCGUGAUUGACCACCUAUUAGAGGUCGUGCCCAGUGAGGCCAUGAUGUACCACCUAGGAAAGGUCGUGCUCAGUGAGGCCGUGAUUAACCACCUAUUAGAGGUCGUGCCUAGUGAGGCCGUGAUUAACCACCUAUGAGAGGUCGUGCCCAGUGAGGCUGUGAUUAACCACCUAUUAGAGGUCGUGCCCAGUGAGGUCGUGAUGAACCACCUAUGAGAGGUCAUGCCCAGUAAGGCCGUGAUGGACCACCUAUGAGAGGUCGUGCCUAAUAAGACUGUGAUGAACCACCUAUUAGAGGUCGUGCCCAGUGAGGCGGUGAUGGACCACCUAAUUAAAGGUCGUGCCGAGUGGGGCCGCGAUUGCCACUGUCUGUUAAACCUUCCUAUAGGGCCGGGAUUGAGAACAAUGAUUGAUUUGCUAGAAUGACAUGUAAUCGGCCGAGUCGAUUCAUCGCUGAGACGAUCCAAGUGGUUGAAUUGUUUUGAUAAUGUGAUUGUGCCACGGUUGUUUGGUUAUCAUAAUUGUACGUGGUUGAAUUAUAUAAAUUGUGCUAACCUGCAGAUGAAGGCUGAGGCGAGGUAAGUCUUCUGUGUGAUGUGGCUAGGCCACUCGGGGCGUAUUUUCUUUCUAAUAGGGGUUUAGGGUGUUGAACUUGCUGAGACAUCGUCUCAUCCCGGUUGUGGGAUUAAAAUUUCAGGUCCCUAGUGGAUGGAGCGACCAGAUAGCUUUGGUUGGCCUUGAGGAGUUGCAGAGGUGAAGUCAUAAGAUUGGAGAACGUGUCCGACUUGUAGGUCGUAGGACAAUUCAUUUUUAAGAGCCGGUCUUUUGUAGACUUUUGGCCGUAGACCUCUGUUUGUAAUUCUGUUGAAUUAUGGAAGUGUUAUGUUGUGGUUUUGCUUCCUGC